CCUACUACUACUUUGAUGGGACAGGAAGUCUAGAGGGGACUGAAGUUGGGUAUUUUCCUUGCUCCAGGUUGGUUAGGCUCUGGUAAAUAGUUUCUCUUGAGGGAAGGCCUUGUUAAGAACAACAGAAUGCUCUGGGCAUAAUUCAAAAUGGCUGUUUUCUCCCUCACAUUGCCAUGAGCAAGGUUUUCUUUCCUGAGGGCCUUUUUCUCUAGUCUUUGCCGUGAGAGCCUGGUAGGGCUCCUGGAAGAAAAAUACAAAAGUAUGGAAGUAUCCCUAAUAUUGGGGUCCCCUGGAGAUUUUAACUCUCAAUCUUGUCUAAACUGAGCUUCCAGCAAUUUGUAAAUUACAGUUUAUGUUUUUCUACCUCAGUACUGGUUCUCAUGGAAUUACAGUCGGUUCUUUGGGAACACAUCUAGUGUCCACAGAAGUGGGAAAGGGCCUGACGCUGGGGACUCCCUUCACAUCAAGGAGAAUUGCUCUGGAAUGCUGUGGCCCAUUUCACCACCCAAGAUUAAAAAUAGAAAGGGCCAAGAAGGAUGAACUUCUCCACACGUUGAGCAGAACACCGUGCAGCGGUAACCAAUGCCAGAGGAACCAACCGCGUGGAGGAGAGCAAAGACCAUCACAAUGCCAGACACCAGGGACAGAAGUCCAAACGCUUCUGCUCGCUACGUCGUGCUAUCAGAGUCACCAGGGAAGACACAAACAGCUGAACACUGGAUGGAACAAGGCUUUUACUCACAUAGGUAAGAGAGAACAAGAUCAGCUCCAAUAAUCUGCGUCAGUCCCUCAUGGCUACUGGGUGCCCCUGACAGCUGACUCAGGGCAAUUGACCUAUGUGCACCGCUCUUGUGCUGCAGUAGAAGGAUGUUGACACCUCCUCUGUGGAGUCUGAAAUACUGAACUCGGGGAGUGUGCCAUAGAGCCACUGAUGAAUGAAGAAAUACUCAUUGAGCUCGAAGCAGGGAAAGAUAUUCCCGCACAAAGUGAUAAAGCUGGCACGGGCAUGGGCUCUUUAUCUCUUGGUAAGGAAAUGUUCCAGGCCUGGGGCCCAUUUUUAUGUGGCUGGGCAGGAGCUGGAAGACUGCACGCAUGAGUCUGCCAUUCCCACACCACAUAAACACACGGAGCCUCACAGAAAAUCAGACACUCCUCUCAAACCAAAUAAAUGGUGUAAUCCUUGGGGAAAACUAUAUGCUAUUUCAGCAAUCUCCACAAUAUACUGUAUUGGAUUUACUUUGUUCACAAAAUUGGUGUCAAAGACAAAGCUAUGAAUACAGAAAAAUCUGGAAUGUGAUGGUAAACUUAACAAUUUUUAAGCAUGGAUAGAAUAAACUACUAAAACAUAUGC
rnacentral:lncRNA from 1 species